rnacentral:rRNA from 1 species
AUGAACGCUGGCGGCGUGCCUAAUCCAUGCCAGUCGAGCGAACGGACGAGAAGCUUGCUUCUCUGAUGUUAGCGGCGGACGGGUGAGUAACACGUGGAUAACCUACCUAUAAGACUAGGAUAACUUCGGGAAACCGGAGCUAAUACCGGAUAAUAUUUUGAACCGCAUGGUUCAAAAGUGAAAGACGGUCUUGCUGUCACUUAUAGAUGGAUCCGCGCUGCAUUAGCUAGUUGGUAAGGUAACGGCUUACCAAGGCAACGAUGCAUAGCCGACCUGAGAGGGUGAUCGGCCACACUGGAACUGAGACACGGUCCAGACUCCUACGGGAGGCAGCAGUAGGGAAUCUUCCGCAAUGGGCGAAAGCCUGACGGAGCAACGCCGCGUGAGUGAUGAAGGUCUUCGGAUCGUAAAACUCUGUUAUUAGGGAAGAACAUAUGUGUAAGUAACUGUGCACAUCUUGACGGUACCUAAUCAGAAAGCCACGGCUAACUACGUG